rnacentral:rRNA from 1 species
GGAAUUAUUGGGCGUAAAGAGUACGUAGGUGGUUUUAUAAGCCUAGGGUUAAAGGCUAUGGCUCAACCAUAGUAAGCCCUAGGAACUGUAAGACUUGAGUGCAGGAGAGGUAAGUGGAAUUCCUAGUGUAGCGGUGAAAUGCGUAGAUAUUAGGAGGAACACCAGUGGCGAAGGCGACUUACUGGACUGUUACUGACACUGAGGUACGAAAGCGUGGGGAGCGAACAGGAUUAGAUACCCUGGUAGUCCACGCCGUAAACGAUGAGCACUAGGUGUCGGGAUCGCGAGGUCUCGGUGCCGCAGCUAACGCAUUAAGUGCUCCGCCUGGGGAGUACGCACGCAAGUGUAAAACUCAAAGGAAUUGACGGGGACCCGCACAAGCAGCGGAGCAUGUGGUUUAAUUCGAAGCAACGCGAAGAACCUUACCAAGACUUGACAUCCUUUUGACCCAUUCUUAAUCGAAUGCUCUCUUCGGAGCAGAAGUGACAGGUGGUGCAUGGUUGUCGUCAGCUCGUGUCGUGAGAUGUUGGGUUAAGUCCCGCAACGAGCGCAACCCUUAUCUUUAGUUGCCAGCAGUUCGGCUGGGCACUCUAGAGAGACUGCCGGGGAUAACUCGGAGGAAGGUGGGGAUGACGUCAAAUCAUCAUGCCCCUUAUGUCUUGGGCUACACACGUGCUACAAUGGCUGGUACAAAGAGCAGCGAAGGGGUGACCCGGAGCAAAUCUAUAAAGCCAGUCUCAGUUCGGAUUGUAGGCUGCAACUCGCCUACAUGAAGUUGGAGUUGCUAGUAAUCGUGAAUCAGAAUGUCACGGUGAAUGCGUUCCCGGGUCUUGUACACACCGCCCGUCACACCACGGAAGUUGGGAGCGCCCGAAGUCGGUCAGAUAAUAGACUGCCGAAGGUGAAAUCAAUGACUGGGGUG